rnacentral:sRNA from 1 species
GCCCGUGGAGCCCUGGGCCUGUUGACCCACCAGCCUAGGAGCACCCACCAAGCUCUGGGUCAACGUGGAGGUACCAGGCCACCAUGCUCAGUCUCAAGCUGCCCCAACUUCUUCAAGUCCACCAGGUCCCCCGGGUGUUCUGGGAAGAUGGCAUCAUGUCUGGCUACCGCCGCCCCACCAGCUCGGCUUUGGACUGUGUCCUCAGCUCCUUCCAGAUGACCAACGAGACGGUCAACAUCUGGACUCACUUCCUGCCCACCUGGUACUUCCUGUGGCGGCUCCUGGCGCUGGCUGGCGGCCCCGGCUUCCGUGCGGAGCCGUACCACUGGCCGCUGCUGGUCUUCCUGCUGCCCGCCUGCCUCUACCCCUUCGCGUCGUGCUGCGCGCACACCUUCAGCUCCAUGUCGCCCCGCGCGCGCCACAUCUGCUACUUCCUCGACUACGGCGCGCUCAGCCUCUACAGUCUGGCACAGCGAUGGUGACCGGCCUUUUCCUCCCGCCUCCCAGUUUCCUGGAGCUGGAAAGCCCUGGGCUCAGUAAGGUCCUCCGCACAGGAGCCUUCGCCUAUCCAUUCCUGUUCGACAACCUCCCACUCUUUUAUCGGCUCGGGCUGUGCUGGGGCAGGGGCCACGGCUGUGGGCAGGAGGCCCUGAGCACCAGCCAUGGCUACCACCUCUUCUGCGCGCUGCUCACUGGCUUCCUCUUCGCCUCCCACCUGCCUGAAAGGCUGGCACCAGGACGC